rnacentral:lncRNA from 1 species
UGAAGAAAGACUAGUGGAAUAAUGGUGAAUAACAUUGAGAUGUUUAUUGGUUUUGUCAAAAAAAGUGCAUCGAAAUCAAUAGUUUUUUUGAUUUAUUUUUUCAAUGUUUAAAUACGUAUGAAUUUGGUGACUCCUUCAUAAAGCUUUUGCAUAGUCUGACAUGUGAAGAAAGACUUGUGAAAUCAUGGUGAAUAGUUUUAAGAUGUUUAUUGGAUUUUUCAAAAAAAGAGCAUAGAUAUCAAUUCUUCUUUUGAUUUAUCUUUUCAAUGUUUAAAUACCAAUGAAUUUUGGGACUUUCUAGUAAAGCUUUUGCAUAGUCUUACAUGUGAAGAAAGACUAGUGGAAUAAUGGUGAAUAACAUUGAGAUGUUUAUUGGUUUUGUCAAAAAAAGAGCAUCGAAAUCAAUAGUUAUUUUGAUUUAUUUUUUCAAUGUUUAAAUACAUAUGAAUUUGGUGACUUCUUCAUAAAGCUUUUGCAUAGUCUUCCAUGUGAAGAAAGACUUGUGAAAUUAUGGUGAAUAAUUUUAAGAAGUUUAUUGGGUUUGUCAAAAAAAGAGCAUAGAAAUCAAUACUGAUUUUGAUUUUUUUUUCGACGUUUAAAUAAUAAUAAAUUUUGGCAGUUUCUAAUAAAGCUGUUGCAUAGUCUUACAUGUGCAGAAAGACUUGUGAAAUUAUGGUGAAUAACUUUCAGAUGUUUAUUGGUUUUGUCAAAAAAAGAGCAUAGAAAUCAAUACUUAUUUUGAUUUAUUUUUUCAAUGUUUAAAUACUAAUAAAUUUUGGCAGUUUCUAAUAAAGCUGUUGCAUAGUCUUACAUGUGCAGAAAGACUUGUGAAAUUAUGGUGAAUAACUUUCAGAUGUUUAUUGGAUUUGUCAAAAAAAGAGCAUAGAAAUCAAUACUGAUUUUGAUUUUUUUUUCAACGUUUAAAUACGUAUGAAUUUGGUGACUUCUUCAUAAAGCUUUUGCAUAGUCUGACAUGUGAAGAAAGACUUGUGAAAUCAUGGUGAAUAGUUUUAAGAUGUUUAUUGGAUUUUUCAAAAAAAGAGCAUAGAUAUCAAUUCUUCUUUUGAUUUAUCUUUUCAAUGUUUAAAUACUAAUGAAUUUUGGGACUUUCUAAUAAAGCUUUUGCAUACGCUUACAUGUGAAGAAAGACUAGUGGAAUAAUGGUGAAUAACAUUGAGAUGUUUAUUGGUUUUGUCAAAAAAAGUGCAUCGAAAUCAAUAGUUUUUUUGAUUUAUUUUUUCAAUGUUUAAAUACGUAUGAAUUUGGUGACUCCUUCAUAAAGCUUUUGCAUAGUCUGACAUGUGAAGAAAGACUUGUGAAAUCAUGGUGAAUAGUUUUAAGAUGUUUAUUGGAUUUUUCAAAAAAAGAGCAUAGAUAUCAAUUCUUCUUUUGAUUUAUCUUUUCAAUGUUUAAAUACCAAUGAAUUUUGGGACUUUCUAGUAAAGCUUUUGCAUAGUCUUACAUGUGAAGAAAGACUAGUGGAAUAAUGGUGAAUAACAUUGAGAUGUUUAUUGGUUUUGUCAAAAAAAGAGCAUCGAAAUCAAUAGUUAUUUUGAUUUAUUUUUUCAAUGUUUAAAUACUAAUAAAUUUUGGCAGUUUCUAAUAAAGCUGUUGCAUAGUCUUACAUGUGCAGAAAGACUUGUGAAAUUAUGGUGAAUAACUUUCAGAUGUUUAUUGGUUUUGUCAAAAAAAGAGCAUAGAAAUCAAUACUUAUUUUGAUUUAUUUUUUCAAUGUUUAAAUACAUAUGAAUUUGGUGACUUCUUCAUAAAGCUUUUGCAUAGUCUUACAUGUGAAGAAAGACUUGUGAAAUUAUGGUGAAUAAUUUUAAGAUGUUUAUUGGAUUUGUCAAAAAAAGGGCAUAGAAAUCAAUACAGAUUUUGAUUUAUUUUUUUAAAUGUUUAAAUACGUAUGAAUUUGGUGACUCCUUCAUAAAGCUUUUGCAUAGUCUGACAUGUGAAGAAAGACUUGUGAAAUCAUGGUGAAUAGUUUUAAGAUGUUUAUUGGAUUUUUCAAAAAAAGAGCAUAGAUAUCAAUUCUUCUUUUGAUUUAUCUUUUCAAUGUUUAAAUACCAAUGAAUUUUGGCACUUUCUAAUAAAGCUUUUGCAUAGGCUUACAUGCGAAGAAAGAUUAGUGGAGAAAUGGUGAAUAACAUUGAGAUGUUUAUUGGUUUUGUCAAAAAAAGAGCAUAGAAAUCAAUACUUAUUUUGAUUUAUUUUUUCAAUGUUUAAAUACCAAUGAAUUUUGGGACUUUCUAGUAAAUCUUUUGCAUAGUCUUACAUUUGAAGAAAGACUAGUGGAAUAAUGGUGAAUAACAUUGAGAUAUUUAUUGGUUUUGUCAAAAAAAGAGCAUAGAAAUCAAUACUCAUUUUGAUUUAUCUUUUCAAUGUUUAUUUAUUUGUUUAUUUUUAAUCAGUCGAUUUAAUCCUUAUGUUGAAAAGUUUAUGGAUUUAUUCUUUUUAUGAGCAACUAAUUGUAUACAUUUUUUUUUACUUAAACGCAUAUGAUAAAUUUUCUUUAAGAAAAACUAAUUUUUAAUUGUGGUCAGAUAAAUUUUUUCUAAUAGGACAAUGAAUGAACCUCCCAGCAAAUGAAAGUAACCUUUAUACUGGAGCAGAAGAACAGAGAUUUGUAUUAAAUUUUACAAAUAGUUUUUUUAUUGUGACAUAAUUAUUUGAAAUUGAUAAUGACUUAUUUUUGUUAUUAAAAAUUUAUCGUUAUAAAUAUUAAAUACAGUCGAGUACGGCCAAAGAUACA